GUGUUUCCGCCCACCUAUAGCAAGGUGUUUUUGUAUGGAAGUCAAUGAGUAUCAAAUGCGGUCAACAAAACAUGUAUAGCUUAUUUGUAAUUUGCUACGUGAUGUUUAUUUGAUCAAAUAGAAGUUUCAUAAUGCCAAAGUUGUUGUGAUUCUACUGAUAUAAGUAGGACAAGUGACAUCCCGGCAACUUUGAGGAAACACUGAAGUGGGCGUUGUCUCGAGAUGUUUAUGUAUAUUCAUGAAAUUAGGCUAGUAUCAUGGAGUCUCUAUAUUGAAUACAGGCGGUUGACGUCAACGAUCCUCGUUUUAGAAGAUUACAAUAAUGAGAUGUAUCCACCAAUCCAAAGAAAAGAUAAGCGGCAGCUUGUGGAUCGAGAGUUACGGAACACAGAGGGUGUUUUUAAAUGCUUGCCUCUGACGAUAACCUGGUAGAGUUAGGCAUACCUCUAUUUUUACUGAAGACCAACCACUAUCCUUGAGUAAAGCCAGUGUGUCCGCUGAUGACUCAACAUUAUACACGUUAGGAAUGGCAGAGAGUUCAUUGAGGUGAUGGAUGUGGUGGAAAGGAGGAAAGGUGUGGAGGAAAGAGGAAGCGAGGGUGAAGGACGGCAGGAGAGGACACAAGGAAUCGAGGAUAGGCUACUGAGACUCAGCCUCGGUUUAAAGACCCUGAUUUGUAAAUGUCAGGCGGGAUGUUGCGACACACAUUAACAUUUUUCCUGUUAUCUACAAUGAGGGGGUGGGAGGUUACUUGUGUGGAAACCUUCAGGCAUGAAUAAACAAAUGUCGGACAA